ACACCAAUGCUUUGAGUUUAUAUUUAUAUAGUAUAAAAUAAAGUGAUAAUUGUAUUAGUUAAUUAGAACUAAUGAGGAUAGCAAUAGUAGGUAAAAUUUAAUUGCUGUUAUUAAUUAUAUAGUUCUAUUAAAAAUUCUUUGAAAAUAAGAUUUAAAUAAACUAGGAUUAGAGACCCUAUUAUUCUUUAUUUUAAAAAUUUUGUUACUUAAGUAGUAUAAAUAUGAACAUAAUAUAUAUAUAUAUAUAUAUAGUUCUUUAAUUGUUUGAAACUUAAAAGGCUUGGCGGUGUUAUAUAUCCUACCAGGGGAGCUUGCUUAUUAAUUUGAUAAUCCUCAAUUUAUACUUACUUUUUUUUGAAUUAUAACAGUUUGUGUAUUGCUGUCGUCAGUUUAUUUUGUAAAAAUUUUGGAAAAAACUAAAUAAUGUUGUAAUUAUG
rnacentral:rRNA from 1 species